UUCAGUUGCAUCCUUUUUAUUACGUUUUCUAAUUUAUUGCAUUGCAUUUCUUCUUUUCUCUCUCUGUCAUUUGGUACUCCACUGUUUUCUCUCCCCCAUUUGGUAUUCCACCAUCUUACUGUUCUCUCCCACUUCUCUCUUCUUUCUCUCCAUUUUUUAUUUUCAUUUUUCCAAAUAAGGGCUUCGUUUUUGCAUGUAAGAAACAAAGGCUUCAUUUUCGGCUUGGUUCGUCAUGUAUGAUGGUAUUUUACUUUUUUCGCACAAAAACAAACCAAAAGCUUCGACCUUUUUGUUCAUAAACGUUGUUUGUUGUUCAUUUUCGGCUUGGUUUGUAGGUAUGAUGAUAUUUCAAGCCAUAAGGUUCGACCUUUUUGUUCAUAAAAAACGUUGUUUGUUGUUCAUUUUCGGCUUGGUUUGCAGGUAUGAUGGUAUUUCAAGCCACAAGGUUUGACCUUUUUGUUCAUAAAAAACGUUGUUUGUUGUUCGUUUUCGGCUUGGUUUGCAGGUAUGAUGAUAUUUCAAGCCACAAGGUUCGACCUUUUUGUUCAUAAACGUUGUUUGUUGUUCGUUUUCGGCUUGGUUUGCAGGUAUGAUGGUAUUUCAAGCCAAAAGGUUCGACCUUUUUGUAUUUUAUCAUGAGUUUGUUGUUUUGUAUACGAAGCUUUUCGAUUUUUCUUGAGUGGUUUGUUGUUAUGUACCAUUUUGGUUGGGGUUUGUUGGGUUUUGAUGUUGCAUAUGCAUCAUUUACUAGCUUUUUGUGGUUUUUUUAUUCAUCGCAACAACAAAGCUUAAAGCUUUGUUCAUUUUUUAUUAUUAGUACAAAAGGUUCAACCUUUUUGUAUUUUAUCAUGAGUUUGUUGUUUUGUAUACGAAGCUUUUCGAUUUUUCUUGAGUGGUUUGUUGUUAUGUACCAUUUUGGUUGGGGUUUGUUGAGUUUUGAUGUUGCAUGUGCAUCAUUUACUAGCUUUUUGUGGUUUUUUUAUUCAUCGCAACAACAAAGCUUAAAGCUUUGUUCAUUUUUUAUUAUUAGUACAAAAGGUUGGAUCUUUUUUUGUUCUACAACAAGUUUAUCGUUUUGUAUACGAAGCUUAUGGAUUUUUCUUGAGUGGUUUGUUGUUAUGUACCAUUUUGGUCGGGGUUUGUUGGGUUUUGAUGUUGCAUGUGCAUCAUUUACUAGCUUUUUGUGGUUUUUUAUUCAUCACAACAACAAAGCUUAGAGCUUUGUUCAGAUAUGUAGCAUUGGGUAUCUUUGUGACCGACAGCAACAACGAAGACAACAAAUAGUGUCCGACAUGAAAAGAACAGUCUUAUUUGACCGUGGUUGAGUAUUCUUCUUCUUUUGCAAGACAAAAGCCACAGAUCAUAGUAUGUUGGAUAGCUUACAGGAGAAAACUUUGUUUUCUUUGCCCGAUGCUAACGUGGAUGAGUCAGUGCUUACGUGUGGCAAUGUCAAGAGCCUUCAUUCCCGCCCAAAAACUUCACUGUCAACCUCCAUUUAUAUUAAUGAUUUUUAUUAAUUUUAAUUUUAUUGUGCAUUUAAUACUUUUUGUCUUUUGUGUUGAUUUUGCUCCGGUUA